UAGCUCUGUUCGGUAACAAUUUUAAAAGUGAAUUUUUAUUGUUUUAAUUAAAAUUAUAAAAACAUUGUUUGAAAGUAAUGUUCGGUAACUGAUUUUAUUUUUUGUUUUUUUAAUUUAAAAUCAAAUUUAAAUAAAUUUUAAAAAUAAAUAUUUCAUGAUUUUAAAAAAAUUUUAAAAUCACUUUUUUCUCAUUUUCUUCUCUCUCUCUGGAUCGCUCGUCUUCCUUGCUCAGUUCCAUUCCAAAAACUCAUCUAUGGCUUCAUCUAUUCCAGAGAGUUAGCUGAUCUAGUUGAUCGAUUGUAGGUGAUGGAAUAGGUGGGAAUCUAAAGGUAGAGCAGCUACGUAUUUAUCAAGACCCUCCUUCCUCAUAAACCCACUUUGCUUUGAGAUGACAAGAGCAGAUAGUGAGGUGCUUAUUAUCGAUAACAGUGAAGCUUCUAUUUGACCUCAAAAACAUGAAGAAGUUUUUGUUGGACUUAUGGAAGAAGAAGUUUUAAAGGGAAAUAGGAAUACAACUUUCACAAAUCAAUCAUGGAAGCAUAUAAAGAAAGAGCUUUAUACAUAAGUGAAAAGAAGUUACACUAAUUUGCAACUAAGGAACAAAUACAACUUGUUAAGACAAAAGCACAAGGAUUUCAAAUCUUUACUGAAAGAGACUGGCAUAGGAUAUAGUGAAGUGACUGGACAAGUUAGUGCGCCGGAGGAAGUGUGGGAUGGGCUUAUUCAGGUUAACAAGUUUACUAAAAUUUUUAGAAAAAAGGGUUGUGUACUUUAUAAAAAAAUCAUGCACCAUUUUUGGUGAUACCACUGUAACUGGUUCCAAUGCUCAUCCUUCAACUCGGAGUCCUGCUAUAGAUCUUGAUAAUGAUGAUGAUGAUGAUGAUGAUGAUGAUGAUGAUGAUGCUAUGUCAAAGAGUCCAUCUGUUAGGAAUCAAGAGAGUAGUUUUGAUGAGGAUGGUAGCAAAAGAAGAGAUAAAUCAACUAUCACUACGAGUUCUUGAUCGGUAAAAAAAGCGAAGUUCUCACUCGUAUUGGCAAAACAUUGACAGUAUAUAAUGAAACUGCAAAGCGAAAGAUAGAAAUGUAUGAGAAUUUAAUGACCGACAAAAACAUCACUUAUUGGAUGAGUGUAUUGAAGCUCUCAAUCAAAUUGACGGAAUUAGUGGAGAAGUAUACGCGAAGACUAUUGAGAAGUUUGAGAGCGAGGUGUCUAAAACAUUAUUUCUAAAGAUGCCAAAACAUAGAAGAAUUGAUUGGUUGAACUAUUUAAAGUGAAAUCUUUUUUUGACUAUUUAGCCUUUCACUUUAGAAUUGUUGGGAUUUAUAAAUGACUUGGUGUGUAUGAAUGACUUUGUUUGUAUGAAUGACUUUGUUUUUAUGAAUAACUUCGUUUGUAUGAAUAACUUUGUUUUUAUGAAUGUCUUGUUAGUUCAUAUUUUA